GCCGGAGUAGCCAAGGCAGUCAAGGCACGAGUCUGAAAAACUUGGGAUACAGGUGCAAUUCCUGUCUCCGGCACUA
rnacentral:tRNA from 1 species